rnacentral:rRNA from 1 species
AAGUGAGAAUCUUGCCCGCCGGAUGACUAAGGGUUCCUGGGUCAAGUUCGUCUUCCCAGGGUGAGUCGGGACCUAAGGCGAGGCCGACAGGCGUAGUCGAUGGACAACGGGUUGAUAUUCCCGUACCGGCGAAGAACCGCCCAUACUGAUCUGGUGAUGCUAACCAUCUUGUCACAUCCAUAGUGAGUUCCUUCGGGAGCUUGCGUCGGGUGUGGUGGCGUGGGAACCGAACCAGGGAGGUAAACGUGUUAACAGGUGUGACGCAGGAAGGUAGCCGGGCCAGGCAAUGGAAUCGUCCUGGUCUAAGGGUGUAGGACUCAGCAUAGGUAAAUCCGUGCUGUGUAUGUCUGAGACCUGAUGGGCGCCCACUAGGUGGGUGAUCCGGUGAUCCUAUGCUGCCAAGAAAAGCAUCGACGUGAGGUUCUAGCUGCCCGUACCCCAAACCGACACAGGUGAUCUGGUAGAGAAUACCGAGGCGAUCGAGAGAAUCAUGGUGAAGGAACUCGGC